rnacentral:sRNA from 1 species
UAGUGUAAUAAGGCUUUUAUGGGUGGUGGCUUUCUCCCUUUUAUUUUGAAAGGGGGUGAGCGGAUGACAGUAUAUGAAGCAUUAGUUGUUGCGAUUUCUUUUAGCACAUUAAUUGUCGCAGUGUUGUCAUUUCACCAUAAAAAAUAACCACCCCUUGGCCUGACAAGCUUUUUGUGGUGGUUAUUUUUCUACCUAAAUGAGUGAGUCGCCCCCUUAAAGGGCUAUUGCACAACGGCUGAAGUGGUGUUGCAGCACUACUU